rnacentral:snoRNA from 1 species
AAGACUAUACUUUCAGGGAUCGUUUCUAUAGUUUGUUAAAAGGACAACAUUUUAACUACUGCUAUGGUCAAAAGGAGUCUAAGGAAAUGUGGC